rnacentral:rRNA from 1 species
GACGAACGCUGGCGGCGUGCUUAACACAUGCAAGUCGAACGGAAAGGCCCCGCUUUUGUGGGGUGCUCGAGUGGCGAACGGGUGAGUAACACGUGAGUAACCUGCCCUUGACUUUGGGAUAACUUCAGGAAACUGGGGCUAAUACCGGAUAGGAGCUCCUGCUGCAUGGUGGGGGUUGGAAAGUUUCGGCGGUUGGGGAUGGACUCGCGGCUUAUCAGCUUGUUGGUGGGGUAGUGGCUUACCAAGGCUUUGACGGGUAGCCGGCCUGAGAGGGUGACCGGCCACAUUGGGACUGAGAUACGGCCCAGACUCCUACGGGGGGCAGCAGUGGGGAAUAUUGCACAAUGGGCGGAAGCCUGAUGCAGCAACGCCGCGUGCGGGAUGACGGCCUUCGGGUUGUAAACCGCUUUCGCCUGUGACGAAGCGUGAGUGACGGUAAUGGGUAAAGAAGCACCGGCUAACUACGUG